CCAUCAUCUUGAACACUGUGCAAAUAAUACUACCUUAUCUGAUCAGUAAACUGAUGGGAAAACUUUAGGAAGUUCAGGUCAACUGGUCUCUUCAUAAGAAAGCACAUAUAAGACAUAUUUAAAAAUUACAUUAUGCAUUAUAUUCCACAUUUAUAAAACAGAGAACCCAGAAGCAUUCUUAAACCAAAAUUACCAAAGCAGUCUGAUUUAUCAAAAAAAAAAUUACCUUG
rnacentral:lncRNA from 1 species